CCAAUAGCGUAUAUUAAAGUUGUUGCAGUUAAAAAGCUCGUAGUUGAAUUUCGGGGUUAGUAGGUUGGUCAUGCCUCUGGUACGUACUGGUCUCACUGAUUCCUCCUUCCUGAUGAACCGUAAUGCCAUUAAUUUGGUGUUGCGGGGAAUUUGGCCUGUUACUUUGAAAAAAUUAGAGUGUUUAAAGCAGGCUAACGCUUGAAUACAUUAGCAUGGAAUAAUGAAAUAGGACGUUCGAUCCUAUUUUGUUGGUUUCUAGGAUUGACGUAAUGAUUAAUAGGGAUAGUUGGGGGCAUUAGUAUUCAAUUGUCAGAGGUGAAAUUCUUGGAUUUACUGAAGACUAACUACUGCGAAAGCAUUUGCCAAGGAUGUUUUCAUUAAUCAAGAACGAAAGUUAGGGGAUCGAAGACGAUCAGAUACCGUCGUAGUCUUAACCAUAAACUAUGCCGACUAGGGAUCGGAUGAUGUUAAUUUUUUAAUGACUCAUUCGGCGCCUUACG
rnacentral:rRNA from 1 species